rnacentral:rRNA from 1 species
CCUACUGGUGGCAUCAUUGGGGCAUCUUGCACAAUGGUGGAAACCCUGAUGCAUCUCCCCCGCUUUCUGUCCUCCUUCUCUCUUUCUUUCCCUCUCUCUCCUCCUUUAAUAAAAUGACGGUACCUGACUAAGAAGCCCCGGCUAACUACGUGCCAGCAGCCGCGGUAAUACGUAGGGGGCAAGCGUUAUCCGGAUUUACUGGGUGUAAAGGGAGCGUAGACGGCGCUGCAAGUCCGGAGUGAAAGCCCAUGGCUUAACCAUGGUACUGCUCUGGAAACUGUGGAGCUUGAGUGCGGGAGGGGCAGGCGGAAUUCCUAGUGUAGCGGUGAAAUGCGUAGAUAUUAGGAGGAACACCGGCGGCGAAGGCGGCCUGCUGGACCGUAACUGACAUUGAUGCUCGAAAGUGUGGGUAUCAAACAGGAUUAGAUAACCCUGUAGUC